UACGUAGGGCGCGAGCGUUGUCCGGAUUUAUUGGGCGUAAAGAGCUCGUAGGCGGCUUGUCGCGUCGUUCGUGAAAACCUGUGGCUCAACUACAGGCUUGCGGUCGAUACGGGCAGGCUGGAGUUCGGUAGGGGAGACUGGAAUUCCUGGUGUAGCGGUGAAAUGCGCAGAUAUCAGGAGGAACACCGGUGGCGAAGGCGGGUCUCUGGGCCGAUACUGACGCUGAGGAGCGAAAGCGUGGGGAGCGAACAGG
rnacentral:rRNA from 1 species